rnacentral:rRNA from 1 species
UGAGGAAUAUUCGGUCAAUGGACGGAAGUCUGAACCAGCCAAGUAGCGUGCAGGAUGACGGCCCUAUGGGUUGUAAACUGCUUUUGUAUGGGGAUAAAGUUAGGGACGUGUCCCUAUUUGCAGGUACCAUACGAAUAAGGACCGGCUAAUUCCGUGCCAGCAGCCGCGGUAAUACGGAAGGUCCAGGCGUUAUCCGGAUUUAUUGGGUUUAAAGGGAGCGUAGGCUGGAGAUUAAGUGUGUUGUGAAAUGUAGACGCUCAACGUCUGAAUUGCAGCGCAUACUGGUUUCCUUGAGUACGCACAACGUUGGCGGAAUUCGUCGUGUAGCGGUGAAAUGCUUAGAUAUGACGAAGAACUCCGAUUGCGAAGGCAGCUGACGGGAGCGCAACUGACGCUUAAGCUCGAAGGUGCGGGUAUCAAACAGGAUUAGAUACCCUGGUAGUCCGCACAGUAAACGAUGGAUGCCCGCUGUUGGUACCUGGUAUCAGCGGCUAAGCGAAAGCAUUAAGCAUCCCACCUGGGGAGUACGCCGGCAACGGUG